GACGUAGGGCGCGAGCGUUGUCCGGAAUCAUUGGGCGUAAAGAGCGUGUAGGCGGCCCGGUAAGUCCGCUGUAAAAGUCAAAGGCUCAACCUUUGAAUGUCAGUGGAUACUGCCGGGCUAGAGUCCGGAAGAGGCGAGUGGAACUCCUGGUGUAGAGGUGAAAUUCGUAGAUAUUCGCAAGAACACCAGUGGCGAAGGCGGCUCACUGGCCCGAUACUGACGCUGAGGCACGAAAGCGUGGGGAGCAAACAGG
rnacentral:rRNA from 1 species